rnacentral:ribozyme from 1 species
GCAAAUACGUAUGAUUUCGGUGGUUGCAACAACAACGUUGGUGGUAGUUUCAUCAAUACUAGCAUGAUGUCAACCUUCUCCGAUCUAGGUGAAGAGGUCAGUUUCGACGACCACCAUCACCACCACCAACAUCAUCAGUAUUACU